AUUGAACGCUGGCGGCAUGCUUUACACAUGCAAGUCGAACGGCAACAGGUUAAGCUGACGAGUGGCGAACGGGUGAGUAAUGCAUCGGAACGUGCCCGAUCGUGGGGGAUAACGCAGCGAAAGCUGCGCUAAUACCGCAUACGAUCUGAGGAUGAAAGCGGGGGACCGUAAGGCCUCGCGCGAUCGGAGCGGCCGAUGUCAGAUUAGGUAGUUGGUGGGGUAAAGGCUCACCAAGCCAACGAUCUGUAGCUGGUCUGAGAGGACGACCAGCCACACUGGGACUGAGACACGGCCCAGACGCCUACGGGAGGCAGCAGUGGGGAAUUUUGGACAAUGGGCGAAAGCCUGAUCCAGCAAUGCCGCGUGCAGGAAGAAGGCCUUCGGGUUGUAAACUGCUUUUGUACGGAGCGAAAAGGCUCUCUCUAAUACAGGGGGCUCAUGACGGUACCGUAAGAAUAAGCACCGGCUAACUACGUGCCAGCCGCCGCAGUAA
rnacentral:rRNA from 1 species